ACGGAGGGUGCGAGCGUUAAUCGGAAUAACUGGGCGUAAAGGGCACGCAGGCGGACUUUUAAGUGAGAUGUGAAAGCCCCGGGCUUAACCUGGGAAUUGCAUUUCAGACUGGGAGUCUAGAGUACUUUAGGGAGGGGUAGAAUUCCACGUGUAGCGGUGAAAUGCGUAGAGAUGUGGAGGAAUACCGAAGGCGAAGGCAGCCCCUUGGGAAUGUACUGACGCUCAUGUGCGAAAGCGUGGGGAGCAAACAG
rnacentral:rRNA from 1 species